CAAAAUGCACGUCAGGAACCCAGGGCCACAUAGUCAAAGAUUACACUUGACUCUACAUUGGGAGCUUCACGUUUCUUUAAUCUACAGUAUUUUGCAUCUCGUUGAAAAAUCUACUGUAUUUUGCAUCUCGUUAAAAAAUCUACUGUAUUUUGCAUCUAUACGGCUGUAGUACCAUUCAUCCCUUUCCCCAUUCUCAUUCUCCUCCUGUUCCUUACCUGAUCUAAGGAUUCAUCCACAAUACGUUGCUAGAUCUUGCUAAGAAAAGAGGACAGGGGAGAAGUGGGAUUUGGGGUGGAGUGCGGUGGCUCCAGGCUCCCGGCGGCGGCAUGUCAUCCAGCUCGACCACACGUGCCUGCAGCUCGCCGCCAUCAUCGAUUGGAUGGCCAUGGAGUUGGGUCCACUUGAACAUGAGGGGUGGCACUCCUCUAGAAAUUUUCUCUUGGAGAGAAGGAUUUUUUGCCCCCAAGCAGCAAGGCUUCGAGGCCACCGGAGAAAAUAAGAGAUUCGUUUCACUGAGUGGCGUUGCUCUCCAGUUCGUGGCGCUGGCCUAGAGCUGUGUCGUCGGGUUGGACGGCCAUGUUCUUCAUAGUGUUCUAGGAUAUAACUUAUGUCACUUGCCAUUGAUGUGCCUUGCGUUGUUUUAGGGAAUCGAACCUAUUUUUUUAGUUGACAUUCUGCCCAACUUUGAUUAUUGUCUCUUCAAGACAACCGUAAUAAUUAUAUGAAGUUUCCUAUAGCAAAAAGUGUUCAAUAUUUGUUGGAUAAAAGGUGUGUUCUUUCUAUUUGUUGUUACCAUAUAUUAGCAACUUAUAUUAAUAAUAGGUGUAUUUAAGACAAAGAAAGAAGGCUUGCAUGUAUUCACUGACUUUGGCCCAUAUGUGUUAAUUGAUAUGCAAUAGAUUUUAGUUUUUUCACAUGUGUUGUGGGAGAUGCCUAUAACACUGAAGCUUUUCUCUUUGUUCUCUUCAACUGAAAAGGCUGUAGGAUAGAAGGGUUGUUUCCAAGAACAACAUAAAACUCACAAAAGUGCAUGUAUGAAUGUGUUUCGAAUAAUUACAAUUUGACAUGUUUCUCAUAGUGCUAAGUUUUGACCCUUAUCUAAUAACUGUCCGCCUUAUACUGAUCUUUGUCAAGCAUUAUUUCUCCAUCUCAGUAAACAUAAAUGGUUUGCUUGGUGCUUCUGAGAUCUUCCCAUCCAAUAAGUUUAGCAAUUUGUACAUACCACUCUCAUUAAGAGUAAAUAUAAUAUGAAAGUUCUCAUUCAAAUUAGCAGAAUAUGCUUACCAGGUGUUAUGGUUUCUUGAUAUGUACCACAAUUUUCGCAGUAGGACUUUCCACUUUCCUUUGUAGUUAGUUUGUGUCAAUCAGAAUUUGAUCAUUUGAAUAUUUUUGUGUAAUAGAUUAUUAUACAUAUUGUUGUGAAAAACAAAAUCGUAAAAAAAUCACCCAAAAACUUAAAGUUAGCAUCCCGAAGAAGUUGAGAGACAAAUAAUUUAGAUAUGACUCCACUAUAACUGAUAUGACUCAAUUGUCAGAAAAGCACUACAGGUCUAAGAGUCUCGUUUCCUCAAGAAGUGGUGAUAUCAUAUCUUAGAAGAAGUUUGAACCAUCACCUGACUUGUCUUGGUUUUGUGCCUCAUUCCAGUGAGACGCAGCUCAGAAGAUCUGUCCUGACUUCACCGGGCAUUGAGAUGCAGCCACAUCAGAGUUUUGGCUUUCUUUGAUAUUUGUCUGGCAUCACAGAGCCGACAAUCUUCGAUUGUUGGUGGUGCUCUAAUCGGAUGGCAGAUUUGUUCUAUAGUCUUCGAUUUUGUUUGUGGUGCUCGCGUAGCAAAUUCUGGAAGACUUCAAUUUUCUCGGCGGUGCUCUGAUUAGGUAGCAGAUUUACAAACAUCGAUUUGUCCAGAAUUGGUUGGAUUCUGACUCUUGGGGUUAGAUGUGGCCGGCUGAGUGCCUUGUCCGAUCCAUGUGGAGUUUCUCUUUAUCAGGACUCCACAUGGUAUUUCCUUUUAUCAAGACUCCGUGUGGAGUUCUAUAGAUUGAGUCCGGUUGUAGUUCUCCUUGUUUUUUUGGCAUGCAUAUACCCGAUUUGGAAUUAGACGCACGUGAGGUUCUAUAUAUGUGACGGUGGUGCUCUAGUAUGUGAUUACGUCUGGACGUGUCACACAAAAUAGAAUAUAUAUUGCCGUGUGAUCUUGUGUAGUUUAUCUUUUUUUUUUGAGCAUUGUGUAGUUUAUCUUAGGCGUACGUUGUCCGGACUAUUCUCUUUUUCCGUGUGGACGA